UACGAAGGGGGGCUAGCGUUGCUCGGAAUUACUGGGCGUAAAGCGUGCGCAGGCGGUUGUGCAAGACAGAUGUGAAAUCCCCCGGGCUCAACCUGGGAAUUGCAUUUGUGACUGCACGGCUAGAGUGUGUCAGAGGGGGGGUAGAAUUCCACGUGUAGCAGUGAAAUGCGUAGAGAUCGGAAAGAACACCAACGGCGAAAGCACUCUGCUGGGCCGACACUGACACUGAGAGACGAAAGCUAGGGGAGCGAAUGGG
rnacentral:rRNA from 1 species